rnacentral:rRNA from 1 species
CUUAAGCAUAUCAAUAAGCGGAGGAAAAGAAACCAACAGGGAUUACCUCAGUAACGGCGAGUGAAGCGGUAACAGCUCAAAUUUGAAAGCUGGCUCUUUUAGGGUCCGCGUUGUAAUUUGUAGAAGAUGCUUCGGGUGUGGCCCCGGUCUAAGUUCCUUGGAACAGGACGUCAUAGAGGGUGAGAAUCCCGUAUGUGACUGGGUGCUUUCGCUCAUGUGAAGCUCUUUCGACGAGUCGAGUUGUUUGGGAAUGCAGCUCAAAAUGGGUGGUAAAUUUCAUCUAAAGCUAAAUAUUGGCCAGAGACCGAUAGCGCACAAGUAGAGUGAUCGAAAGAUGAAAAGCACUUUGGAAAGAGAGUUAAACAGUACGUGAAAUUGUUGAAAGGGAAGCGCUUGCAACCAGACUUGCGCGCUGAUGAUCAUCCGGGCUUCUGUCCGGUGCACUCGUCUGCGCUCAGGCCAGCAUCGGUUUCGGUGGUGGGAUAAAGGCCUUGGGAAUGUGGCUCCUCUCGGGGAGUGUUAUAGCCCUCGGUGCAAUGCCGCCUACUGGGACCGAGGACCGCGCUUCGGCUAGGAUGCUGGCGUAAUGGUUGUAAGCGACCCGUCUUGAAACACGGACCAAGGAGUCUAACAUCUAUGCGAGUGUUUGGGUGUCAAACCCAUACGCGUAAUGAAAGUGAACGGAGGUGAGAACCCUUAAGGGUGCAUCAUCGACCGAUCCUGAUGUCUUCGGAUGGAUUUGAGUAAGAGCAUAGCUGUUGGGACCCGAAAGAUGGUGAACUAUGCGUGAAUAGGGUGAAGCCAGAGGAAACUCUGGUGGAGGCUCGCAGCGGUUCUGACGUGCAAAUCGAUCGUCAAAUUUGCGUAUAGGGGCGAAAGACUAAUCGAACCAUCUAGUAGCUGGUUCCUGCCG